UAGGUAGAUGGGGCGUGCCCACAAACUUGGAUAAUUGUUUACUUCGAACGACCAACACACAGUCAUGUCAGAAUUUCUCUAGGCAAGAUUAUUUUUUAAAAGUUUGUUUUUCAUUAACGUUAGUCAUCAUGCCUGUGUGGUGUUCGGUGUCUGGCUGUGCUAAUUACAAACAAGCGCGAAAAUGAGUUAUAUUUCACCGUUCUACAUACCAGAGAUUUACCUCGAUUCUGUCAGUGGCUUGCAGAUAUCAAGAAUGAGGUUUAUGGUGACCAAAGAUUAUCCGAGGGAUUUUCAGGCUGAACUGAUGGGGAAUCCAUUUCGACGACAGCUGAGAAGUGAUGCCAUACCACCAUUUCUUUCCUUCACAACAAAACGGAAGAUUCUCGAUUAGAGGUGUUACAGAAUCUGAUUUCACCAGCAUGUGCUUCCAACCCUUAGCUCUGCACAAGGUGGAGGAGACAUGCAGUACCAGCAAAUAUUCUGCAAACAGUUGGUGAUUAAGGUCGACGAGCCCUACACCACUUCCGGCAGAGUCUUAUCCAGCUGGUCGUACACCGCAGACAGGACAGGACCAUUCGCCACAAGCACAAAGAGUCUCAGCUUCCACAUCCCACCAUGCCAAACACCAUUGCCAGUGUACCAAAGCCAGAUAACGGACUAUGGCUGAGUUUACACAGGCAGCCCAAUUCUGAUCUUUUUUUCACUAAUUGGUAUUGUGACCAAUCAGAUCAGUUCUGAAAA